ACAUGGUGGCCUCUCUUGGACAAUUAGCAGCCUCAGCCGCUUCCCUGCCCUCAGGAUCCUCCACUCCCGAGGAUAUAUUUGCCGCAAUUUUACAGAGUCUUCUGCUUUACUGGCCAGAAGUCAUGUUAACUAUGGAGUCAAAGGAGAUGUGGCAGUUCAAAUUAACUCACCUGAUUCAAAGCAUGCUAGCCACUUGCAAGACUCCUCAAGAAGUAGUACAUAUAUCACAGGCAGCACGGAGAACAUUUGAGAAACCUGAGAAAUCCACAAAGCCUGUUGUGGCUGCCAUCGGUGGAUCCUGCUUGGGAGGAGGACUUGAGCUUGCCAUUUCAUGCCAAUACAGAAUAGCAACAAAAGAUAGAAAAACAGUAUUAGGCACCCCUGAAAUCUUGCUGGGGCUCUUACCAGGAGCAGGAGGCACACAAAGGCUGCCCAAAAUGGUGGGUGUUCCUGCUGCUUUUGACAUGAUACUUACUGGCAGAAACAUUCGUGCAGACAGAGUGAAGAAAAUGGUACUGGUUGACCAACUGGUGGAACCCCUGGGACAAAGAUUAAAACCUGCAGAAGAAUGAACAAUUGAAUAUCUAGAAGAAGUUGCAGUUUCUUUUGCCAAAGGACUAGCUGAUAAGACAAUCUACCCAAAGAGAGACAAGGGAUUGAUGGAAAAGUUGACAGCGUAUGCCGUAUGCCCUGACUAUUCCAUUUGUCAGGCAACAGAUUUACAAAAAGGUGGAAGAAAAAGUGCAAAAGCAGACCAAAGGCCUUUAUCCUGCACCUCUGAAAAUAAUCGAUGUGGUUAAAAACUGGAAUCGAACAAGGGACUGAUGCUGGUUAUCUCUCUGAAUCUCAGAAAUUUGGAGAGCUUGCAAUGACCAAAGAAUCAAAGGCCUUGAUGGGACUUUACCAUGGUCAGGUCCUGUGCAAGAAGAAUAAAUUUGGAGUUCACAGAAGGAAGUUAAGAAUCUAGCUAUUCUUGGUGCAGGGCUGAUGGGAGCAGGCAUCGCCCAAGUCUCUGUAGAUAAAGGGCUAAAGACUAUUCUUAAAGACGCUACACUACCUGGGCUUGGCCGAGGAUGGCAGCAAGUGUUCAAAGGAUUGAAUGAUAAAGUGAAGAAGAAAGCUCUAACAUCAUUUGAAAGGAACGCCAUCUUCAGCAACUUGACUGGGCAGCUGGAUUACCAAGGUUUUGAAAAAGCCGACAUGGUGAUUGAAGCUGUCUUCGAAGACCUUAGUCUUAAGCACAGAGUGCUGAAGGAAAUUGAAGUGGUGAUUCCAGAUCACUGUGUCUUUGCCAGUAACACAUCUAUGCUCCCAAUCAGUGAAAUUGCUGCUGUCAGCAAAAGACCUGAAAAGGAGAUUGGCAUGCACUACUUCUCUCCUGUGGACAAGUUAUCAUAACCCAGAAAACUUCCAAGGACACAACUGCCUCAGCUGUAGCCGUAGGCCUCAAGCAGGGGAAGCUCAUCAUUGUGGUUAAGGAUGGACCUGGCUUCUACACCACCAGGUGUCUCGCACCCAUGAUGUCUGAAGUCAUCCGAAUCCUCCAGGAAGGAGUUGACCCUAAGAAGCUGAAUUCCCUGACCACAAGCUUUGACUUUCCUGUGGGUGCUGUCACACUGGUGGAUGAAGUUGGUGUAGAUGUCGCAAAACAUGUGGCAGAAGAUCUAGGUAAAGCCUUUGGGGAGCGCUUUGGAGGUGGAAGCCUGAAGCUCCUGACACAGAUGGUGUCCAAGGGCUUCCUGGGUCGCAAGUCUGGGAAGGGCUUUUACAUCUAUCAGGAGGGUGUGAAGAGUAAGAAUCUGAAUUCUGACAUGGAUAGUAUUUUGGCAAGUCUGAAGAUGCCACCUAAGUCUGAAGUCUCCUCUGACGAAGACAUCCAGUACCGGCUGGUGACAAGAUUUGUGAAUGAGGCUGUCAUGUGCCUGCAGGAAGGGAUCUUGGCCAUGCCUGCAGAGGGAGACAUUGGAGCAGUCUUUGGGCUCGGUUUCCCCCCUUGUCUUGGAGGUGCCUUUCCGCUUCAUGGAUCUCUAUGGUGCUCAGAAGGUUGUGGACCGGCUCAAGAAGUAUGAGGCUGCCUAUGGAAAUCAGUUCACCCCGUGCCAGCUGCUCAUUGACCACGCUACCAGCCCCAGUAAGAAGUUCUACCAGUGA